rnacentral:rRNA from 1 species
GCGAGGGGAGUGAAAAAGAACCUGAAACCGUGUACGUACAAGCAGUGGGAGCCCCACCACUAAGCCAGUGGUGAACUCCACAUACGCAUCCUUUGCUGAGGAUACGGUUAACGGAGCGAAAGCGACGUUCAACCGCAAAAGAAGCAGAGGGGGCUUAGUGGUGGGGUGACUGCGUACCUUUUGUAUAAUGGGUCAGCGACUUAUAUUCUGUAGCAAGGUUAACCGAAUAGGGGAGCCGGAGGGAAACCGAGUCUUAACCGGGCGUUAAGUUGCAGGGUAUAGACCCGAAACCCGGUGAUCUAGCCAUGGGCAGGUUGAAGGUUGGGUAACACUAACUGGAGGACCGAACCGACUAAUGUUGAAAAAUUAGCGGAUGACCUGUGGCUGGGGGUGAAAGGCCAAUCAAACCGGGAGAUAGCUGGUUCUCCCCGAAAGCUAUUUAGGUAGCGCCUCGUGAACUCAUCUCCGGGGGUAGAGCACUGUUUCGGCUAGGGGGCCAUCCCGGCUUACCAACCCGAUGCAAACUGCGAAUACCGGAGAAUGUUAUCACGGGAGACACACGGCGGGUGCUAACGUCCGUCGUGAAGAGGGAAACAACCCAGACCGCCAGCUAAGGUCCCAAAGUCAUGGUUAAGUGGGAAACGAUGUGGGAAGGCCCAGACAGCCAGGAUGUUGGCUUAGAAGCAGCCAUCAUUUAAAGAAAGCGUAAUAGCUCACUGGUCGAGUCGGCCUGCGCGGAAGAUGUAACGGGGCUAAACCAUGCACCGAAGCUGCGGCAGCGACACUCAGGUGUUGUUGGGUAGGGGAGCGUUCUGUAAGCCUGCGAAGGUGGCCUGUGAGGGUUGCUGGAGGUAUCAGAAGUGCGAAUGCUGACAUAAGUAACGAUAAAGCGGGUGAAAAGCCCGCUCGCCGGAAGACCAAGGGUUCCUGUCCAACGUUAAUCGGGGCAGGGUGAGUCGACCCCUAAGGCGAGGCCGAAAGGCGUAGUCGAUGGGAAACGGGUUAAUAUUCCCGUACUUGGUGUUACUGCGAAGGGGGGACGGAGAAGGCUAUGUUGGCCGGGCGACGGUUGUCCCGGUUUAAGCGUGUAGGUGUGUGUUCCAGGUAAAUCCGGUUCACUUUAACACUGAGGCGUGAUGACGAGGCACUACGGUGCUGAAGCAACAAAUGCCCUGCUUCCAGGAAAAGCCUCUAAGCAUCAGGUAACAUCAAAUCGUACCCCAAACCGACACAGGUGGUCAGGUAGAGAAUACCAAGGCGCUUGAGAGAACUCGGGUGAAGGAACUAGGCAAAAUGGUGCCGUAACUUCGGGAGAAGGCACGCUGACACGUAGGUGAAGUGAUUUACUCAUGGAGCUGAAGUCAGUCGAAGAUACCAGCUGGCUGCAACUGUUUAUUAAAAACACAGCACUGUGCAAACACGAAAGUGGACGUAUACGGUGUGACGCCUGCCCGGUGCCGGAAGGUUAAUUGAUGGGGUCAGCGCAAGCGAAGCUCCUGAUCGAAGCCCCGGUAAACGGCGGCCGUAACUAUAACGGUCCUAAGGUAGCGAAAUUCCUUGUCGGGUAAGUUCCGACCUGCACGAAUGGCGUAAUGAUGGCCAGGCUGUCUCCACCCGAGACUCAGUGAAAUUGAACUCGCUGUGAAGAUGCAGUGUACCCGCGGCAAGACGGAAAGACCCCGUGAACCUUUACUAUAGCUUGACACUGAACAUUGAGCCUUGAUGUGUAGGAUAGGUGGGAGGCUUUGAAGUGUGGACGCCAGUCUGCAUGGAGCCGGCCUUGAAAUACCACCCUUUAAUGUUUGAUGUUCUAACGUGGACCCGUGAUCCGGGUUGCGGACAGUGUCUGGUGGGUAGUUUGACUGGGGCGGUCUCCUCCUAAAGAGUAACGGAGGAGCACGAAGGUUGGCUAAUCCUGGUCGGACAUCAGGAGGUUAGUGCAAUGGCAUAAGCCAGCUUGACUGCGAGCGUGACGGCGCGAGCAGGUGCGAAAGCAGGUCAUAGUGAUCCGGUGGUUCUGAAUGGAAGGGCCAUCGCUCAACGGAUAAAAGGUACUCCGGGGAUAACAGGCUGAUACCGCCCAAGAGUUCAUAUCGACGGCGGUGUUUGGCACCUCGAUGUCGGCUCAUCACAUCCUGGGGCUGAAGUAGGUCCCAAGGGUAUGGCUGUUCGCCAUUUAAAGUGGUACGCGAGCUGGGUUUAGAACGUCGUGAGACAGUUCGGUCCCUAUCUGCCGUGGGCGCUGGAGAACUGAGGGGGGCUGCUCCUAGUACGAGAGGACCGGAGUGGACGCAUCACUGGUGUUCGGGUUGUCAUGCCAAUGGCACUGCCCGGUAGCUAAAUGCGGAAGAGAUAAGUGCUGAAAGCAUCUAAGCACGAAACUUGCCCCGAGAUGAGUUCUCCCUGAGACUUUAGGUCUCCUGAAGGAACGUUGAAGACGACGACGUUGAUAGGCCGGGUGUGUAAGCGCAGCGAUGCGUUGAGCUAACCGGUACUAAUGAACCGUGAGGCUUAACCUU